rnacentral:hammerhead_ribozyme from 1 species
GCACUGCUGAGGAGUCCCAUAAUAGGACGAAACGACCGGCCAGUGC